UAGUAGCUGAUUGCCAACAGUACCAGAUUUGGGGUGCCCACCCUACACUUCAGCUGAGUAUCUCCUAGUAGGUAGCCCUGGCUCCACAUGUGCUGUGGAAAUAGUUUGUGUAUCACCAGUGCUACAAAAGUCACAGCUUGGGAGGCUCUGCUGUAGUAAAUGCAUAUUGUCUGUAUUACAAAUACAGGUGUCAAUGGUUGGAGACUGUAAGUAAAUGCACCUGGUAUCUGUGCAGCAUGCAAUUUUCAACUUGAAAGGAAACAUGCCUGGUGAAGAAUGAUACUGUUUUGUUCUUUGAGUAACAUCUGAUACUGCUGGAAGUAUAUCAGUGUAUUACCAACUGUGCCACACCAGCAUGCACAACAUGAGAAAAUUCCACUCCUGAAGUGCUGUUCAACAGAACCAGGAUUUUAAACUAGUUUCCUGCUUCAGUAUUCCCUGGAGCCAGGAUAAAGAAUUUGAGCAAUUCAAGGACUGUAGAGAAGGAACUUCUGAGUUACAGGUAAUGCUCAAAAGCACGUUUUCUUUUAUGUGAAAUAUAAUGAUGGCAUUGUAACAGACAUUAUGAAUAAUUUCAAAUAAGUUAGGGUUUGUAUUACAAUGAAAAAUACAUUGUGAAAAGGAAAAACAAGAAAAAAUAACUACUUUUUAAGUCAUAUAAAGUUACUCUAUGGAAAUAAUCAUAAAUAAGGAGAAUUAAAAUAAAGAAUUAUAAAAUGAGGUAAGUCAGAGCUUUCUUGUGAUUCCUUGUAGAUAUUCAGAAUGAUGAUCAUUCUUUUCCUUGCCUCUAUAAAACUUUUUUUACCUUUAUUAUACAAGAAUCAUACAUAUGCAGGACUAGAUGGGGAUUCAAUAAAUCACAUUGUCCAAACCACUACAUUCAGUGAGGGUCUUUCAUAAUUGGAGUAUUAUUGUAACUGUCAGCAUCCCAUGCAGGCUGCUCUGUGCUACAUGGAGCUGCUUUCAUCUGCCAAGCUACUGCUCUGGCACUAAUGAAACUGCUGGGUUCCCAGGCUGAGGUCAGUACCCUGCUACUGCCCUCCUGAAAUGUGCCUGAAACCUCUUCUUCAUCCACAGCUCCCAGGAGGGAGAGAGAAAGGAAAUCCACAUUGCUUUUAACAGCUGCACUGAACAGAGAGAGUUAUAAAUUAAUGAAAAUAAAGAAUGAGGGCAAGUGGCUGAAGCCAUGACAGUCACUUUUUGGUGUGGCAACAGAUAAGCAGUGCUCUGAGUGACAAAAUGUCAGUCUGACUAUGUAGAUGUGAUGAUGAUGUCAAAAGAGUCUCAUUUGAAUUGGGAUUCAGGAGGAUCCUCUAUUUAAACCCUGUCUGAACUACUGACAGGCUCCAUGACCUUUUACAAUAU
rnacentral:lncRNA from 1 species